CGCUGCUCUGCUCCGCCCCCUCCUCCCCCUCCGGCCACCACUCUCUCUCCGCCCUAACUAGAUCUUCGAACCAGACGCCUCCGAGCCUCCUCAGACUGCCAUCGAGCCGCAGCAGCGAGAGCUGAGAAGAAAGCCUACCAUCGGAGCACAGACGCCGACCCGCAGAGGGGAGGGUGGCCGCUGGGAACAGAACCGGUGGGGUUUAGGACGACGGAGGAGAGGGGAUGGGUGGCGGGCGGCGGCAAUGGCGGAGGCCGAUCUCUGAGCAAGAGAGACUAUUCUUUUGAUAAUAGGCGGCUCCCACUUUAUAGCACCAAAAGGCCGGAGCUCCAAAGCGCUCUCUUUAGAUUUGCAGGCGGGAUCCCAUCCACGGCGAGAACGCUCGGGAAGGACAGAAGCGAACAGUAGUUUUUAUCCCUCGGGUCAUGCACGUCACCUGCUCGAUAAAUUUACGAGGAGAGAGAUGGAGACAGAGACGACGACGACGACGACGAUGGCGACGACGGUGAGGAUGGAGGGGGGAGGGGGGAGACGAUGCUUUUGAGUAGCAGACAAAACCCAGAAUGGCGAGUGGCCGCC
rnacentral:lncRNA from 1 species